GGGGACAGGCGAGGCAAUGGCCUCAAUUGUUUUGUGCUAUAGCAUUUUUGCUUAUAGCCACCACCACCAAGGCAUCGGCUGAUGAUUAUGCCUCAGCACCACCACCAAAGUAUUCUUCUCCACCUCCUUACUACUACAAAUCACCACCUCCUCCUUCUCCCUCUCCACCUCCACCAUAUUAUUACAAGUCUCCCCCACCACCAUCUCCGUCUCCUCCACCACCUUACUACUACAAGUCACCACCACCACCGGUGCAUUCUCCCCCGCCACCUUACUACUACAAGUCACCGCCGCCACCAGUGCAUUCUCCUCCGCCACCUUACUACUACAAAUCUCCGCCGCCACCAAAGCAUUCUCCCCCGCCACCUUACUACUACAAGUCACCACCACCACCAGUGCAUUCUCCUCCACCACCUUACUACUACAAAUCUCCACCACCACCAAAACAUUCACCUCCACCACCAUACUACUAUAAGUCACCACCUCCACCUGUAAAAUCUCCACCUCCACCACCUUACUACAAAUCACCACCACCACCAAAGCAUUCUCCCCCACCACCUUACUACUACAAAUCUCCACCACCACCAAAACAUUCCCCACCACCACCUUACUACUAUAAGUCACCGCCUCCACCAAUAAAGUCCCCACCACCGCCACCUUACUAUAAAUCACCACCGCCCCCAAAGCAUUCUCCCCCACCACCUUAUUAUUACAAAUCACCACCUCCACCAGUGAAGUCUCCACCUCCGCCACCUUACUAUAAAUCACCACCACCUCCAAAGCAUUCUCCCCCUCCACCUUACUAUUAUAAAUCACCACCUCCACCAAUGAAGUCUCCACCUCCGCCAUAUUACUAUAAAUCACCACCACCACCAAAGCAUUCUCCCCCGCCACCUUACUAUUAUAGAUCUCCACCACCACCAAAGCAUUCUCCCCCACCACCUUACUACUAUAAGUCACCACCUCCACCGAAGAAAUCCCCACCUCCACCAUAUUACUAUAAGUCGCCACCACCACCAAAGCAUUCUCCCCCACCUACUUACUAUUACAAAUCUCCACCACCACCAAAGUAUUCUCCACCACCACCUUACUAAUACAAAUCUCCACCAAUGCUAUCUCUAUCCCCACCUCCACCAUCUAUAUCACCUCCACCACCACCUCCAUCACUGUCACUAUUGCCUCGCUACUGCUCCAAGUCAUCACCACCUCCUGAAGACUACUAAGUUCAAUGUUCCGUCUUCAAACAAAUUUCAAAUUCAAUAAGAAUAAAUUUGUUCCUUCAGUUGCCUUUUUCAUGAAUUUUUAUGUUAAUGUUUUUACGAAUAAUUUUUAAGAAGCGUUCGGUGUAUCAUUUGUCAUGUGCAAUAAAAAUUUUCUAACUUAAUGUACCCAAAAAAAAAUGUUCCACAAGAAAUAUUCUAUUGUUUUAUCACAAAUGUGUUGUGGCACAUGUAAUGCGCCUAGAUAAAGUAAUAUUAUGUCUUGAUGAACAAUCAUGCACAACAAUGAUAAUGUACAUAGUUCUUCCAAUGUCAUGAUAAUGUCCGUGCACAUAAUAACAAACUUCUUCCUUGUAAUAUCAAAGAAAAUGAAUAUACAAGCCUCUUAUUCUCUAAUCAUUCACUCAAACAACAUUGUUUUAAUUUAGGUUUUGAUCAAUCUUAAUGCUAAUAAAUGCUAACUACAAAUCAAAUACAAGAUAAACAAAAACCAUAUUUUAAAUGAAUUAGAAAAACAAACACUAGACUUAACCAAGUAGUUAACCUUUAUUAUUCUCCUAGGUAGAUUACAAGCUAUCACUGAAAAAAAAAAGAAAUCAUCUAAAAUGGUGAACAAAUGCGCUCUAAAUCAGUUGCAUUCAUUUGUUCAGCUAAGCAAUAAAAUAACCCUUUUCCAUUUUAACUUAUCUACUUUAGAAUGGCAACUUUAAAUAACACCCUCAACUUGACAAAUUUUAAUAACCAAAGCGAUCAAUAACUGUAAAUCUUGACAAAUUUUUUUUACUUUAAUUAAAGCCAUAAAUAUAGUAUUAAAUAAAAUGAAAAAAAGGCCAUAAACAUAGUGUUGAAAUACCUUUAUACUUGUGAACUAACUUUUGAUGUUGAUUAAGCUCAUGUACCCUCAACUUUUGUAUUAUGAAUAUGCUUAUGCCCUAUCUUAGGUCUCCUCUAUGAACUCCUCCAUGAACCACUUUUUUUUUAAAAAAAAAUUAAAUUCAUUAUGAUACUAAGGUAUAAGCAGAAGUAAAAUUCCUUUAAUAUUAUUGUAAUCAGGAUGUGGCUACCUAGGUGAUACAUGAAUUGGUUAUUUGUACAUUUUACUACAUUUUUUUGAGUUUGCUUGUUAUUUUUCUCUUUGUUCCAACAAUUCCCACACGAGGAUAAUCUCAUUUUAACAAAGAAAGAUACCACUGAAAUACAACAAAACAUGAAUUCUAAUAUACUAGAAAUUUUUUUUUUUCUUUGCCUUUUCAUAUCUUAGAGUUAUGUUUUUAUCCUCUUGUAGUGGCAUAUAUGCAUUUUAACUAGAAUAUUCUUAUUUGAGAAUUAUUAAUAGGAGAGUGGUAGACAAAUGAUACAAAACUAUGCUGCUUCACUAUUAACAACACAUUCAAUCGAGUAAUGAUAGAGAGUCAAUUCUAACACCACGUGAAAGCAAACAAAAGUUGAAAUAUUUUAGCGAAUACCUUUUAAAGUUUGAAUUAAUAAUAAAAUUGUCCCAAAAAACUGCCUUAAUGGAAUUAAUGUGGAGAUUUAGUGGUAGGGUGCAUCAAUAUCAUUUUCCAGAAAAAAAAAAUAGUCAAAAUAUGAAAGGUUUGUUCUCCAGGUGGUUGAUAUUGCUGUACAUUAAUAUCAAUGAUACGUACCAAAUUCUAUUAUAAAAUUCAUUAAUGUAUAGGUAGAAUAUUUAAUAAAUUAAUUCCAGGUAAAACGUCGGUGAUAUGAACAGUAGCGAAGCUGCAACCGGGUUAGCUUUUUUUUUUUUUAUAAUAAAAAAUAGUUAAUUAUAAUUUAUGAAUUUACCUUUAUUAAUACUUAAAAAAAAAAAAAAAAAAUUUAAUAGCCCACCCCGAUGCUAGCUAAGCUAAAAAUAAAAUAUAUCGAAUAAAUGGUGAAGAGAAAGCUGUAAUAAUUAUCGUAAUUACAGUGAGAAGCUGUAAUUUUCUUGAACACGCUUUGACGUACGAUUAGCAAAAAAGUCGUCUGUCUAUGAGCAAUUGGCCGUACAGCAUCUUAACUAUUCCGUUGACAUUGUAAUUAAUUAAUUGAUGAGCUUUUUAUAAUUUCUUUGAACCAAAUGCAGAUAUUUAGUGGGCAACCAGCAACCCUUGCUUGGCAAAAUAUAGGAAAGAAAAACUUGAAAUUUAUAAAUGUUACAUUUUGUUUGGAUGAAUAAUUUUAAGAUAAUGUUUCAGUUUCAGAUUUUGUCACCGAUACCUAAUUAUAAUAAAAAAAAAAUAUUGUAUAAUUUUUUUACCAACAGUUACAAUACAUUUGAUUUUUUAUCUUCUCAAUAUUUAAACUCGAAUAAUCAGUUAAAAGUUGUUCGAGAAUGUUUAAAAGCCAUUUAAGCAUACCACGUCAGUCAUGUUUUGCAAUCAUUCAAUUCCAUGUGCUGAAAAUAAAUAAAAAUACACAUGCAAAUGUCAUAUUGUCUCCGAAACCGCACAGCGGAAUGAUUGUAGUACUUACUUGCAAUGCAUGUACUUUAGACUUUGUAUUUAUCUUAUUUAAAUGAUCAAUAAUUUUUCUUUGUCCUUUAAUUAGACGUCAACAGUCGAAGUUGUGGGCAAGUAGUAGGCUAUAUAUAAUAAUUUCCUGGAGAUCUUCCGUCUUCUAAGACAUUGCAAAUGCCAAACGUGAUCACUAUAAAUACUGCAUAAAAUAUAUGAAAUGUCAGACAAGUCAAAAGAAUUGAUUCUUCACAAUUGUAUAUACGUAUACACACACUUUGUCCAAAUCCCAUUGUAUCCAGGCUGUAAUUUUUAUAUUAAACGAACUUAUUUUAUUUUAUGUCAGCAAUAUUGAUGCAGGCUGGUGGAACAACAGCUUCAGGAUGGUCAACUACCCUUCGGAUCAUUGCAAGUGGGAUGGCAUCACUUACAAUUCAGACGGAAGCAUAAUCGGGCUAAAAUUAUCAUGGUAUGAUGUUGACUUCAAAAGGUGGUCUUCGUAAAAUUAUCAUGGUAUAAUAUACGUUUUUAUUUUCGCAUACAUAAAUAAAUAACAAAAUUGUAAUUAAUUGGAUACAGCUUCAGCUUUUGGACUGGUUUGUGAAAAUCGGAAAAAUUUAAAAAUGCUCCUCUUGAACAAUCAAAAUCUACUUUAUACGUGAACAAAGGGGAUGAUUCGUAAAGAUAGUCCAUCAAUGUUUGAUUACUUUCGAGCGUGUCGAUUACUUUCAGAAAGAAAGACUUCAUUUGAUCUCGUCACAAAACAUAAUUUCACUUUGAAUUUGAAAAAGAAUAAUGAAGUUCAUACGAAUGCUGUUAUGACUUUUUUUUUUUUUUGUUUUCUUUUUUUCUCGACGUUGUUUUGUGAAUCAUAAGGGUUAAUUUAAUACGGUGGGUUCGCUUGUAUGAAGCGCACUUAUUGUACCAUUCUGUUGCAAGCAAUGAAAAAACGCUAUAAUUUUUUUAAGUUUCUACAAGUAUUAUGUUAUCUUAUAUCUAAAUUUGCAUCUCUAUUCUUUGCUCUCAGUUUGAGUUCUCUAAAAGUAUAUUAAUAAUGAAAAGCAUUAAAGGUUCCAAAACUCUAUUUUGCGGGGAAAAAGAACCUCCAUUUUUGGUUUUUUUUAUCAUAAGAGGUUUUACUAUGCUCGUAAUAACUUAAUCGAAAUUAAACGUAUCACUGGUCUACAUUUUUUCUAAGAUUUUAUGACUAACUAAGAUGAGUAGCACUAGCAAAUCAAUAAGCUAAUUCCUUCGUCCACAUGUUCAAGGAAAAUAGAGUACAAGUCGGGAGAAAGAAGAAAAAGAAAAAAAAAGGCUUAGCAAUUUAUGCUGUUGGUUGUGAGUUCAUGCAACAAAUAAAUAUGUGAAAUCAAACAUAUAUCCAAAAUUUAAAGUUGAAAAAGAAAAUCUAAAUCUAGAGUAAUCUGUUCAACUCACAUAGGUGGAGCAAUAUAGUUCCAAGACUUGGUUUUAAAACAUGUCUUUGUGAUAAACAACAUCGUUGUACUUGCACCAAUUCCCAUUCCAAUAAUUGCCUACAUUUAUCCAGGGUCCACGGCCAGGUUUAGAAUGUGCAAGUCUUCUUUCGCUUCCAUAAAUAACUAUUAUUAUGUAAUCAGAGUGUCCGUCUAAAUUUUUCGGAGAUACACCGUCAAUGUAUGUGCCGGAAGUUGAAGCUGAAUGCGCUUAAAUAUGUUCGAAAUUUGAAGUUGAACGCCUGAAAAAUGAUGCAGACUGAAGAAAGGCGAUUCCUGGAAUUUGCUUUUAUAAGAAAACGUGGCUGCUUAUGCCCUUUGAAAGACUGAAGAAAUCAAAUUGAUUAUUGCUGCAAUUUAGUGGCACGUGUACAAGGAGAGGCAUCCGAUUAAACUGGUUCAUAAAAUUAUUGCUGAUGGUUGCAGCCGAUCUCCAUGAAGUACAAACCCAACGCAAAGAAACAAAAUCUUCGUACAAUUUUAUCCGCCAGCAAUUUCGACCAAGAGACCUUGAUGCAGUUCAGACCAAGUCGCCUAGACAUUGAGAAUUAGGUCAAUAAAAUAUGUCCUGGGUCACUUACAAAAGAUGAAAUAAGUGAAAAAGGAAAGAUGACGUAAUAAUUUCUUUGUGAGAAAAGUUAGUUAAUUUUCAAUUGCUUUCAUUGUUUUGAUAAUUUUCAAAACAUUUCAUUGCUUUCAUUGCGUAAUUAAGCUUUUUUUGCUUCAAAAUAUUUCAAAUUGUGUUUGUGGGACUACUAAACAAUUAGGACACAAAAAUGUUUCGUUUUGGUCUUUUUUUUUUUUUUUUACUUUUUAAUUUAUUUUAAGAAAAUCUUUGUUCAUCUCUCAUCCUACUAAAUAUAUCGUCUCGUCUUGUUAUCUAGAAUAAUCCUUCAUGCAUAAAUGAGUUUUGACAAAUUUUCUUUUAAAAGUUAUUGUAAUUCAAUAUAGCUAAAAUCUUAAAUACAUACAUGUAGAAUAAUCUAAGCAUUACCUUAUUCGAGGAAAAUCAAGAUUAGAAUCAAUCAAAGCAAUGAUACCUUAUAUCAGUGAGAUAUAUGCAAGACUCACCCAUUGGUACAAAAGAAAAUGAUCAAAGUGGAAGCAAAAAUGGAAUCCUCAAAUGUGGUGAUAAUUUAGAUGAUCUCCACUCUCCAUUUGGUUUCAUCUAAUAAGUUAGUGUUUAAUUAAGAAUUUAUUACUCAUUUUAUUAUGAUAUUAAUCAACUGCCGUCCCUUCCAUUAGUUCAUUAUUUUUGAUGGAUUACGAAAGACACACAAUAAAAUUCUCCAAAACUGUUGUAAGAGUAAUAUUGUAAAAGUUAAAUAAAAGUGAGGAUAAGGAUAAUUUGAGGUAUGUUUCAAGAUAUAAAGAUUAAAUAAAUUCUUAACUCAAAAUAAAGAGAUUUAUUCUUUUAAAAGAGAAUAAAAUGUCAAGAUAAAUAAAUAAGGGAGGUGAUAUUCUGGGCUCUCCCCCGGAUUUUUGUGAUAACAUCUUAAAUUAAUAUAAAUAGUCAAAAAUUUAUUUAAAAAAAUAAAUUUGUACCUAAUACUCUUUGACAUAGCUAGGAAUAUAGCCUACUUGCAAGAGACUUACAUUCCAUCAUUCUCUAAUUCCCCACGUAACAUCUUAUCUUGCAUCACAUCAGAGACUUGUUCGUUUGCACAGCCCUUUCGUGAAUAUAAAAUUGCUGCCGAAUAAGCAUCUAAUUAAAAGAAUUAAGAAUUUGUCAACGGUAUAAAUUAAAAUAUAAAAAACGAGUAAAAGAAUUUGUCAAUGGGAUAUGGGCGGCUAUGGCUUCAAUCGUAGGGGUGUGUAAAUUUCGGAUUCCGAAUCCGAUCGGAGUUCGGAUAAUUCGGAUUGGGAAAAAAUCCAUCCAAAUUCAAUCCGAACCUUAAAUCUGUUUCGAUCCGAGAUAAUUUUGGAUCCGGAUCAGAUUCAGAUGAGUUUGAAUUUCAGAUUAUAUUUUGGAUUCGGAUUAAUUCGGGUUUUGGUACCUUUUUACAAUUCUCACAAAAAAAAUUAUGAAAUUUAUAAUUAAUGAAAAGUAAUUUCCCUGAUGCUGUCAACAAUAAUUAAUAUAUUGAAAAUGCAAUAACGGAAUUUUCAAAAAAAGAAAAAAAGAAAACACAGGAACGGUAUUGAUAAAGAAUUUUCAUUAACCAUCUGUGACUGCUAACCAAAUUGUAACAAGUAAGUAAAAUAUAAUAAUAAUAAUAAUAAUAAUAAUAAUAAUAAUAAUAAUAAUAAUAAUAAUAAUAAUAAUAAUAAUAAUAAUAAUAAUACAUGCGGGUAUAUUCUAAGCAACUAAAUCACUUGCGAAUGAUCAAGACAAAUCGUAUAAACAAGUAAAAAAUUCAAAGUUUCAAACACAAAUCGUCGGGGGCUGUCGGAUUAGUGGAUUACAAUUAACAAGACGAGGUUUAUGUCGGUGUCAGUUGCUCAUUGUGUGUCUGGAUGACGUCGCGAUGGCUGGGUUUGUGCCGAAUAUGAUCCAACUAGGUUUGUAUCGAAUCUGAUCUCGUCUAGAGGACGUUGUGGCGGCUGGGUUUGUGUUGAAUUCAUUCGGUUUGUGUCGUCGGCGACAUGGUUGUGGGUUGGCUCGUCAGGUCGUGGCCUGUGGGUGUGGUGUGGUUUGUUGUCGUGGAUUGACUUAUCAAGGGCGUGCGGCGAUGGUGUGUGGUUUUGUCAUUUGGAAAUUGAGUUUUGAUUUUUUUUUCGGCUUUUUUUUUUUAAUUUUUAGUAACAGUGCAAUCCGAUCGGAUUAUUCGGAUUGAACCGAAUCCUAUCCGAUCCAAAUAAAAUCCGAUCGGAUUGUAAAAAUUUCAUCCGAUUGGAUUUGAAAGCAAAUCCGAAUCCGAUCCGAACAAAUUCGGAUCGAAUUGGAUUAGAUCGGAUCUAUCCGAAUCCGAUCCAAUGUCCACCCCUAUUCAAUCGGUUUCUGCAAUGGUCAAUGGCAUAUUUUUGCUCAUCGUCACCACUGCAUUCACUAAUCAUUUGUGCACGUGAGUUGUUUUUGAGCGUUUAUUUUGCCUUUUAGAAGUAUAAGGUUAUUAUUUUUUGGGGGGGGGGGGGGGGCGGUGUGGAAAUGAAGUCAAAUAGCAUUUAUGAAAGCUUGACUAAUUGCUUCCACUCGUUAAAAUUGGGCAUGUAAAAAAUUCAAGAAAAAUGGCCAAAGUGGCUGGCUAGGUGAUAUAAUGGAUGCUUACUACUCAAACCUAGCAAUAAAUGAAUGUCCGACAAGCAUUCAAAUGAAUGUAUAAAACCAAUGAGAUUAGAAUAUCUAUUUAUAAUAGACUAAUGAAAAUAUGAUUCAAAUAUAAGAUAAAUAAUCUCUCUAUUAAUUUUUUAUUGUUUCAGGUAGGGUUGCCAAGCCUUUGUCCGGGCUUCUCUAAGCCCAUUUCCAGCCUUCUUAUAUGAUUGGAUUAGAUCAAGCUCGGCCCACCAAGCCGGGCUAAACACCGAGUCCUUUUUAAAUAAAAAAAGGUUGAAUUUUAAGUUUUUGAAGCCAAAUAAUAAAAAUAUUAACAUGUAAAAGUACAAAUUUUUUUUCAUGUGAAAUAAUUAUCUCAUUUCUACCUUUUUGGUCCUAUAGAUAUUUCCUCAUUUCAUCUUUGGUACUAGAGCAGUAGUAAAAAGACACACGAUUCAAGAUAAAUGUGACAUUUUUACUGACAAAUUAACUAUUUGGAUCUAAGAUCUAGCUCUAGUGGUAAAGACUAGUUUUUAUAGAAUUCAGGUCCUGGGUUUGACUUCCAAUUGCGUGGGUAAGCUAAUAAUAAUAAUAAUAAUAACAAAUUAACUAGUUUUAAUUUGCAAAGGUCUUAGAUAAUCAAUUCACUUGUAAAAACAUCAAAUUUAUUUUUAGCUAAUGAAAUUUUCAAGUCACUGGUUUUAGCACUAGGAAUGAAUUAAAUAGAGUAAUGAUAAACAUCUUAAAAUUUUAUCCCAAAUGAUAUGACAUGUAAUGUGUCAUUUAUUAAGUGGUUGGUGAUUUUUCAUAAAUUUUAAGUGGAUUAAUUAUAUUAUUUCACCAACCAAUAAAUGAACAUCACAUCAUUUGAGAAUGAAUUUUAAAGUAAAAUUUUGGAUAUAUAUCAUUACUCAAUUAUUUUUUAUAGUAUAAAAAUCUAAUAGGGACCAAAAAUAUAAAAACCGAUUAAGAAAAAAAAUAAAAAAAAGUCAAUUCCUAAUUAGAAGAAUGAAAGUGUCAUUCUCCUAUAAUCAUUUCUCAAGUUUUUAUAUAAAUUUAUUAAUGCAAAAUUUUAAUAGAAAAUUGGUACCUAAACCUAACGUCUUUGACAAUGCUGCAAAUAUCACUCACAACUUACAAGAAUAAAGAAUUUGUAUUAAAUUUAUUAAUGUUCUCAAAGAAUUUUUAGUUUUGACUUUACAUUCUCAGACCCAUUUGUCACAUAACACCUUAGCUGAUUAACAAAGCCCUUUCAUGAGAAUAUUAAAACUGCUCUCGAAUAAGCAUCUUAACAACCCCCUUUUUGACAGACAUGCAAGCCUCCUUAUGUGAACAAAUUUGAAACAUAAAAGAUAAUUUCAAUCGAUGUGAGAGUUGGGAGUAUUUUAUAGCUUUUGACCUCAUUAAUUAUGAGUAAGAGAAUAUUUCUACGUCACUAAUGAUUAAAAUUAUCACUAUAUAAAGGGUAGCAAAGUAUGUUUAACAUCAAGUCAGAAAACACAAUUUUUAGGAAAUGGGAACUCGGGGACAGGCGAGGCAAUGGCCUCAAUUGUUUUGUGCUAUAGCAUUUUUGCUUAUAGCCACCACCACCAAGGCAUCGGCUGAUGAUUAUGCCUCAGCACCACCACCAAAGGAUUCUCCUCCACCUCCUUCUCCCUCUCCACCUCCACCAUAUUAUUACAAGUCUCCCCCACCACCAUCUCCAUCUCCUCCACCACCCUACUACUAUAAAUCACCACCACCACCAAAAUAUUCUCCUCCACCACCUUACUACUAUAAGUCACCACCUCCACCAGCAAAAUCUCCACCUUCGCCAUAUUACUAUAAAUCACCACCACCACCACCAAAACAUUCUCCCCCGCCACCUUACUACUACAAGUCGCCGCCACCACCAGUGCAUUCUCCCCCGCUACCUUACUAUUACAACUCUCCCCGCCACCUUACGACUACAAAUCUCCGCCGCCACCAAAGCAUUCUCCCCCGCCACCUUACUACUACAAAUCUCCGCCGCCACCAAAGCAUUCUUCCCCGCCACCUUACUAUUACAAAUCUCCACCACCACCAAAACAUUCACCUCCACCACCAUACUACUAUAAGUCACCACCUCCACCUGUAAAAUCUCCACCUCCACCACCUUACUACAAAUCACCACCACCACCAAAGCAUUCUCCCCCGCCACCUUACUAUUACAAAUCUCCACCACCACCAAAACAUUCACCUCCACCACCAUACUACUAUAAGUCACCACCUCCACCUGUAAAAUCUCCACCUCCACCACCUUACUACAAAUCACCACCACCACCAAAGCACUCUCCCCCACCACCUUACUACUACAAAUCUCCACCACCACCAAAACAUUCCCCACCACCACCUUACUACUAUAAGUCACCGCCUCCACCAGUAAAGUCUCCACCACCGCCACCUUACUAUAAAUCACCACCGCCACCAAAGCAUUCUCCCCCACCACCUUAUUAUUACAAAUCACCACCUCCACCAGUGAAGUCUCCACCACCGCCACCUUACUAUAAAUCACCACCGCCACCAAAGCAUUCUCCCCACCACCUUAUUAUUACAAAUCACCACCUCCACCAGUGAAGUCUCCACCUCCGCCACCUUACUAUAAAUCACCACCACCUCCAAAGCAUUCUCCCCCUCCACCUUAUUAUUACAAAUCACCACCUCCACCAGUGAAGUCUCCACCUCCGCCAUAUUACUAUAAAUCACCACCACCACCAAAGCAUUCUCCCCCGCCACCUUACUAUUAUAGAUCUCCACCACCACCAAAGUAUUCUCCCCCACCACCUUACUACUAUAAGUCACCACCUCCACCGAAGAAAUCUCCACCUCCACCAUAUUACUAUAAGUCGCCACCACCACCAAAGCAUUCUCCCCCACCUCCUUACUAUUACAAAUCUCCACCGCCACCAAAGUAUUCUCCACCACCACCUUAUUAAUACAAAUCUCCACCAACGCUAUCUCUAUCCCCACCUCCAUCUUACAUUUAUAAAUUCCCACCUCCACCAUCUACAUGACCUCGACCACCACCUCCAUCACUGUCACUAUUACUUCCUACUACUCCAAGUCAUCAGAACCUCCUGAAGACUACUAAGUUCAAUGUCCCUUCUUGAAACAAAUUUAUAAUUCAAUAAGAAUAAAGUUGUUCCUUCGGUUGCAUUUUUUAUGAAUUUUUAUGUUAAUGUUUUUACGACUAAUUUUUAAGAAGCGUUCAGUGUAUCAUUUGUCAUGUGCAAUAAAAAUUUUCUUAACUUAAUGUACCCAAAAAAAAAAUGUUCC
rnacentral:lncRNA from 1 species